rnacentral:misc_RNA from 1 species
UCUCUCUCUCUCUCUCUUUCUCUUCCCUACUUGGAGGACUGAAGAGAUUGCUAUGAAUGCCAAGGGAGACGUUUUUUAGCUAUGUAUAUUAGAAUAGAGACUUGUUGAUGAAGAGCAGUAACAUAAAUAAUUAUCAUGUCAUCCAUAUUACAUUGUUGGGUAUAAAUAAGUAGUGCAUUUAUCACUCAGGAUUUGUAUUAAAUCUUUAAAUGCUUAGUGUAUUUGAUAGAAGAAUAACAACAAUGAUCAUUACCCUCCUUGAGACUGCUGUCAAAUGUCUUGUUGCUACUUAUGAAACAGAAGAAAUCCAUAUUUUUAAUCACAAUUGGUUAUCACUUACCCUUUGUUUGGAUUAAGAAAAAUGAAAAGAAGAGAAAAGAAAAGAAAUUUGAUUUCUUUAAAUUUCCUUGUUUGGACAUCAAAUAGAAGAGAGAAUUGAAG